rnacentral:rRNA from 1 species
UACAGAGAGUGCAAACGUUGUUCGGAAUUACUGGGCUUGAAGCGCACGUAGGCGGCGUUGUAAGUGUCGGGUGAAAUCCCACGGCUCACCCGUGGAACUGCCCGGCAUACUGCGAUGCUAGAGUGUGGUAGGGGAGAGCGGAACUCCUGGUGGAGCGGUGAAAUGCGUAGAUAUCAGGAGGAACACCAGUGGCGAAGGCGGCUGACUGGUCCGGUUCUGACGCUGAGGCGCGAAAGCGUGGGGAGCAAACAGG